GGGGCGCUGGUGAAACGGGAUCACGCGACAAUGGCAUUGUCGAAUUAGGGGUUCAACUCCCCUGCGCUCCACCA
rnacentral:tRNA from 1 species